GACGAACGCUGGCGGCGUGCCUAAUACAUGCAAGUCGAACGCUUUUUCUUUCACCGGAGCUUGCUCCACCGAAAGAAAAAGAGUGGCGAACGGGUGAGUAACACGUGGGUAACCUGCCCAUCAGAAGGGGAUAACACUUGGAAACAGGUGCUAAUACCGUAUAACACUAUUUUCCGCAUGGAAGAAAGUGGAAAGGCGAUUUUGCGUCACUGAUGGAUGGACCCGGGGUGCAUUAGCUAGUUGGUGAGGCAACGGCUCACCAAGGCAACGAUGCAUAGCCGACCUGAGAGGGUGAUCGGCCACACUGGGACUGAGACACGGCCCAGACUCCUACGGGAGGCAGCAGUAGGGAAUCUUCGGCAAUGGACGAAAGUCUGACCGAGCAACGCCGCGUGAGUGAAGAAGGUUUUCGGAUCGUAAAACUCCGUUGUUAGAGAAGAACUAGGAUGAGAGUAAAAUGUUCAUCCCUUGACGGUAUCUAACCAGAAAGCCACGGCUAACUACGUGCCAGCCGCCGCCGUAA
rnacentral:rRNA from 1 species